GUGGGUAUAGCUCAGUGGUAGAGCACGUGCUUAACAUGCACAAGGUCUUGGGUUCAAUCCCCGGAAACUCCG
rnacentral:tRNA from 1 species